CCUACGGGGGGCAGCAGUGAGGAAUAUUGGUCAAUGGGCGCGAGCCUGAACCAGCCAAGUCGCGUGAGGGAAGACGGUCCUAUGGAUUGUAAACCUCUUUUGUCGGGGAGCAAAAGACGCCACGCGUGGCGUUCCGAGAGUACCCGAAGAAAAAGCAUCGGCUAACUCCGUGCCAGCAGCCGCGGUAAUACGGAGGAUGCGAGCGUUAUCCGGAUUUAUUGGGUUUAAAGGGUGCGCAGGCGGAAGAUGAAGUCAGCGGUAAAAUUGAGAGGCUCAACCUCAUCGAGCCGUUGAAACUGGUUGUCUUGAGUGAGUGAGAGGUAUGCGGAAUGCGUGGUGUAGCGGUGAAAUGCAUAGAUAUCACGCAGAACUCCGAUUGCGAAGGCAGCAUACCGGCGCUCAACUGACGCUCAUGCACGAAAGUGUGGGUAUCGAACAGGAUUAGAUACCCGAGUAGUC
rnacentral:rRNA from 1 species